UAGAACACUGCUCAGCCUUUCCCUCGUCCUGCAGGCCAAAGAGAGGGAUGUGGAAAUGCAUUCUUGUCUCAUUUGUAGCACGUUUUUUUUUUUUUUUUUGUCUCUCCGUCGCCACCACGGCCUAACUCUCUGCGGCUGAACACUAGCGUGACCUAUUCGUAAAAGUCACCUCCAGUUCAACCAACCAGUUUCCAAAUCUACCUGCAAAAGCAUCUGUCCCAAAGGCUGAGGUAGUAGAUUGAAUAGUUGUGGGGUUUGAUCCUCCCUCAGAGAUAACUUUUCAAUCUACUGUCUUUCCUAAGGAGACAGGAUGAUCUGCCGUGAUGAUGAAGAAUCAAUGUGUUUCAGAAGCUCCAUGGAUAAAAGAAGCCAUGGACUCAAAAAAGAUGAUUUAAGGAUCAAUUGAUCCAACAAAUCUGAGGGGGAGGUUGUGGAUACAAAAAAGACUUUACAAAUGUAACUGCUAUAAUUCUUACAAUGAGUAAUAAAGCGCACGUUUAAUUUAUUUAUUUAAUAGGGACAAGGCAAUUUAACAUAGUUUCAAUACAUACAUGAAACUGAUGUGCUGCAUAAAGAGUAUCUAUUGCUAAUUUCCAACUCUUGUCCCUUAGUUGGUCCAAUGGGUAAAGUCUACUUUUUGAGGGUAGUCACUGGUGCCUGAAGUUGAGCCUUGCAAGGUGAGGUAGUAGGUUGUAUAGUUUGUGGGAUGGAGUAAAUCCUGCUCAGGUGAUAACUAUACAGUCUAUUACCUUUCUUGAGAGGUACAAUGAGUGCUUGGAAUGAGGCUCACUCACACAGAAGAAACAACUCUGACGCCAUCUUGUGACCAAAGACAGUAAGAUCAAAGAUAUAUUUGCAUUUGGGCUUCUUCUGUAUGUUUCUGGGGUGAUUAUGCAAAGCUUUCCAGGCGUGAAUCUCCAAAAAAAAAAGGAUGGUUUUACUGAGACGUUGGGAGAGUCAAGAGGAGCCAUGAGGCUCAUAGAUCCAAAGUCUGUUCAGCAAUAAUUUUUCAUUUUAAAUCUUUUGAUACAAAGAUGACAGUUGCAUAUCUGAAUUUUUGCACACACUUAGUUUAUUUUUGUUUGUUGCUUUGUUUAAAGGUCUGGCUGUGUUUAUCCAUUGCCAUUCCUAGUACGUUGUAUCUGUACGUACACAAUUCUAUGUAUGAUAAGACUCUGAUUUUGGGAAAUAGUUUUUUGUAAUUCCCUGUUUAAACCAUUAAAAAGUGUUGAAUGUUUAAUAGUGGUAUCAAUAAGGACUCGGAUCGUUAGGAAAUAUCGACAAGGGUAUCACUAUAAUUAGAAAUGAACAAUCUCCAUUCUAAUCAAGGAUCCCAAAAGAGUCACCUGUCAAUGUCACUGUGAACUCAAUGAGGAGGUUAUAAAAAUGUUUUAGUAACAGGGUCAACCCUGCCUUUCGCCCCUGUCCAUCUUUGCAUUUAGCUAAACGUUUUCAGCAGCAAGUAUACUCUGAGAAAAGGUAUGAAAUGUAUCCCUUUGUAACCCCAGUGUGUAAAACAAAGAUCCAAAAAUGCCAUUCAUGUUGUCUCUAGUUCUGUUUACUCUUUGAGAUUACAUGUCACAGAAUGAAUAGCAGUAGAAACACUGAAAUAAGUACAUCAUGUUCCAUUUGUUAAUUGUGUUAGUAACAUAUUAAAAGCCAACUGAUCAUCAAAACAAGAGUACCUGUACAUUGGAAUUCAACAAAUAGGUCAUGCUACAGCCUUUAUGAGACUUUGAUUGUUGUUGAAACUAAUUGACUCAACUCUUCUUUGAUAAUUGUUUUGGUCUAUACUUUGUGGUGUUGUUUUUUUAGACUAGAUGGUUUGGAAAUGUGUGUUUAACAUUACAGAAAUCAACAUUUUCAUCAGAUUUUGGAUGUCAAAGUCAAAAAAAAAGUAACAACUCCAAUACAACCAAACAAUGUAGUAAACUACCAAAUCAACUAAAUGAGCAAACAAAGAGUUGCAGCAGUCCUAUAUGUAUCUAUUGUCGCUAUUAUCUUUCUCCAAACCUUCAAAUCAAAGCUCGAAACACACCUUUUUAGAUUAACCUAUUCUGUCUGACCAUGCCCGUCUUACUAUUGCUGCUUUAUGUUUUAUGUAGUUGAUUGUGUUCUUGUUUUUACUAACGGUUUUACUGUCUGUAAGGUGACCAUGAGAGAUGAGAAAGGCGCCCAUAAAUAAAAUGCAUUAUUAUCA